rfam:Triticum aestivum genome assembly, contig: Triticum_aestivum_CS42_TGACv1_scaffold_061097_1DL
GGAGGAAGGAAGCAUGGUAAUGUGCACGGAGAGUACCGAUACCGGUGGUCUGCAUAUGUCUGCUCGUCUUGACGCCUUCGGGCUUUGAUCUCGCGGGCCUGGAUUUGACCAACAUUC